AUCCCUUCUAGGUCUUUUGGUUAAGACCAAGUGUAGGAUCUGUUUUUAUCAGUUUAAUAUCUGGUAUGUCCUUUAUCCCAGGACAAUAUAUGAAGUGGAUUUUUGGAGCAGGGAGAUGGUUGAAAAUAAUACACCAUGCUUAACUUUGACCAUUUGCUCCUGCUAAUCAGAUGUUCUGCAUAAAACUGGCAAUUGGGUAAUGAUUUU
ensembl:snRNA U2 U2 spliceosomal RNA